GAUCCUGGCUCAGGAUGAACGCUAGCGGCAGGCUUAAUACAUGGCAAGUCGAGGGGCAGCAGGGUAGCAAUAUCGCUGGCGACCGGCGCACGGGUGCGUAACACGUAUACAAUCUGCCUUUUAACAGGGGGAUAGCCCGGAGAAAUCCGGAUUAAUACCCCAUAAUAGUAGAACUGGCAUCAGUUUUAUUUGAAAGCUCCGGCGGUUAAAGAUGAGUAUGCGUCUGAUUAGCUAGUUGGUGAGGUAACGGCUCACCAAGGCGACGAUCAGUAGGGGAUCUGAGAGGAUUAACCCCCACACGGAUACUGAGACACGGAUCCGACUCCUACGGGAGGCAGCAGUAAGGAAUAUUGGACAAUGCCCGCAAGGGUGAUCCAGCCAUGCCGCGUGCAGGAAGACGGCCCUAUGGGUUGUAAACUGCUUUUACACCGGAGAAAACCUCCCCUCGUGAGGGGAGCUGAUAGUAUGGUGAGAAUAAGCAUCGGCUAACUUCGUG
rnacentral:rRNA from 1 species